rnacentral:rRNA from 1 species
UGGGGAAUAUUGCACAAUGGGCGCAAGCCUGAUGCAGCCAUGCCGCGUGUGUGAAGAAGGCCUUCGGGUUGUAAAGCACUUUCAGCGGGGAGGAAGGCGUUAAGGUUAAUAACCUUGGCGAUUGACGUUACCCGCAGAAGAAGCACCGGCUAACUCCGUGCCAGCAGCCGCGGUAAUACGGAGGGUGCAAGCGUUAAUCGGAAUUACUGGGCGUAAAGCGCACGCAGGCGGUCUGUCAAGUCGGAUGUGAAAUCCCCGGGCUCAACCUGGGAACUGCAUUCGAAACUGGCAGGCUAGAGUCUUGUAGAGGGGGGUAGAAUUCCAGGUGUAGCGGUGAAAUGCGUAGAGAUCUGGAGGAAUACCGGUGGCGAAGGCGGCCCCCUGGACAAAGAAUGACGCUCAGGUGCGAAAGCGUGGGGAGCAAACAGG